UACAGAGGUCUCAAGCGUUGUUCGGAUUCAUUGGGCGUAAAGGGUGCGUAGGUGGCGCUGUAAGUCGGGUGUGAAAUUUCGGAGCUUAACUCCGAAACUGCAUUCGAUACUGCGGUGCUUGAGGACUGGAGAGGAGACUGGAAUUCAUGGUGUAGCAGUGAAAUGCGUAGAUAUCUGGAGGAACACCAGCGGCGAAGGCGGCAUCCUGGCCUGUUCUUGACGCUGAGGCGCGAAAGCUAGGGAGCAAACGGG
rnacentral:rRNA from 1 species